rnacentral:lncRNA from 1 species
AUUUAGCCCAUCUCGGACUCUCCAGAGCCAAUGCCUUGAUGACCAGAGAUCUGCUCUGUUGCAACUGCAACAAGGUCUUUACUAUUCUCAUAAUUUUACUUUUUCUUCCAAAGCUGAGCUUUGGAAUGUCAACAUUGAUUGUUGCUCUUGGAAAGGAGUUACAUGUGAUACUCUUGGUCAUGUGAUUGGGCUUGAUCUCAACUACAAAAACCUUUCUGGUAGCUUUCACUCCAUUUUUAAUCUCCAAUAUCUCCAAUAGCUUAAUCUUGCCGGAAACAAUUUUAAUACUACUCUGUUUCCAUCUCAAUUUGACAAACUUUCAAAUUUGACUUAUCUCAACCUUUCAGAAUCCUGUUUCAAUGGCCAAAUUCCAAUGGGGAUCUCAUACCUAACAAGGUUAGUCUCUCUUGAUCUAUCUUAUCAAGAUUCUUGCUAUCGGAGAAACGAUCAAAGUGUUGAAUUAUACGGUGAUUAUUUUCCUACUCUAAAACUAGAGAAACCAAAUUUCAAGACUUUAAUCAAGCAUAUGAAGUCUCUCACGGAACUUUAUUUGGAUAGGGUGAACAUUUCAACUCAAAGUACUAAAUGGUGUGAAAUCACAUCGUUAGCACUUCCUAAGCUACGUGUGUUAAGCUUGUCAAGUUGUGGUUUGACAGGUCCAUUGUGUUCGUCUCUCUCAAG